GAUGAAGAACGUAGCGAAAUGCGAUAAGUAAUGUGAAUUGCAGAAUUCAGUGAAUCAUCGAAUCUUUGAACGCACCUUGCACCCUUUGGCAUUCCGAAGGGUAUGUUCGUUUGAGUGUCAUUGUACUCUCACACUCUCCGAUCCUAUGGAUUCGGGGAGCGGUGGACUUGGGUGUUGCUGCCUUUCCCUGUGGCUCACCUCAAAUGCGUCAGUGCACCUCUUGGUUGGACAUAGUACGGCGUGAUAAGUGUCUUCGCCGGCACCUCGCAAGAGGGUGGCCGAUCGGGAGCUCUGCGCUUUCAAACCGUCUUCGGACAAUUUCUGACAUCUUGACCUCAAAUCGAGUAGGACUACCCGCUGAACUUAAGCAUAUCAAUAAGCGGAGGA
rnacentral:misc_RNA from 1 species